rnacentral:rRNA from 1 species
GGUGGUGCAUGGUUGUCGUCAGCUCGUGUCGUGAGAUGUUGGGUUAAGUCCCGCAACGAGCGCAACCCCUAUUGUUAGUUGCCAUCAUUCAGUUGGGCACUCUAGCGAGACUGCCGGUAAUAAACCGGAGGAAGUGGGGAUGACGUCAAAUCAUCAUGCCCCUUAUGACCUGGGCUACACACGUGCUACAAUGGUUGGUACAACGAGUUGCGAGUCGGUGACGGCGAGCUAAUCUCUUAAAGCCAAUCUCAGUUCGGAUUGUAGGCUGCAACUCGCCUACAUGAAGUCGGAAUCGCUAGUAAUCGCGGAUCAGCACGCCGCGUCAUCGUCCGGCCUU